UUUCCAGUGCUCUUAACAGUGCAGUAAUAGACUCUUCUACAAAGCCAUCAGCUGUGUCACUAACAAACCUUAGAGCAUCCUUUAACCAUCUAUCUAUAAACCAAAGCCCAUCUAAUUGAAUAAAAAGAUCAAGACAUUCUUUAUUCUCUGUAGCAGCAAUUGUGCUUGCAACAGCAGCCCACUGCCUGGUUGCAUCACCAAUGUUCUUCACAAUACAAUCUUUCUCUUUCUGCAUUACAGCAACCAGCACG
rnacentral:misc_RNA from 1 species